UUGGGUGACGAGUGGCGGACGGGUGAGUAAUGUCUGGGAAACUGCCCGAUGGAGGGGGAUAACUACUGGAAACGGUAGCUAAUACCGCAUAACGUCUUCGGACCAAAGUGGGGGACCUUCGGGCCUCACACCAUCGGAUGUGCCCAGAUGGGAUUAGCUAGUAGGUGGGGUAACGGCUCACCUAGGCGACGAUCCCUAGCUGGUCUGAGAGGAUGACCAGCCACACUGGAACUGAGACACGGUCCAGACUCCUACGGGAGGCAGCAGUGUGGAAUAUUGCACAAUGGGCGCAAGCCUGAUGCAGCCAUGCCGCGUGUAUGAAGAAGGCCUUCGGGUUGUAAAGUACUUUCAGUGGGGAGGAAGGCGAUGAGGUUAAUAGCCUUUUCGAUUGACGUUACCCGCAGAAGAAGCACCGGCUAACUCC
rnacentral:rRNA from 1 species